rnacentral:misc_RNA from 1 species
GAACAAAAACCACCACCAUAAAUAGAAUUAUUAUGGCCAACACCAUGAUCUUUCCUGUUAUUUGUACUGUUGCUGAAUUGUCCAAAUCCCCCAUAGCUAAUUCUCAAAAAAAAAAAAGAUGUAUCUUCUUGAAAUGUACUUGUUACCAAAAAGCAAGUGAGCAAAACCCAGAUAAGAAUUACGAAAGAUUGUGAAAAAUGCAGCAGAACCCAAAUGGGUCUCUUCGUUUUGCAGUGAUUUCAAAGAAUCACAGACGAAAAAAAAUAAAAUUAUGAUAUGAAUUAAUAAAGAUUCAAGAAUGAGGUAUAAAUACAAUAUAAGAAAGAGAAAGAAGCAGCGAACUCGUUAUUUAAGUUGAGAAAUCGUAAGAAUGGGAUAGGAUUGGAGUCUAAGAAUGAUGAAAUCAAAUUGAGGACUAAAGACUUGGACCUAGCGAGAGGAGACGGACGAAGAAGAAACGAAAGAACCUGACUGGUUU